CCAAUUUCCAGGUUGCUCUCGAGUUUCUGUCCCUGACCGGAAAGGGUGUGUCUGGACUACAGAAACAAAAAUUAUGUUGCGCCCCUUGGCGGCCGGUGGAAGGAUUGCGGUAUGCCCGUGUACUUCCUGGAAAUGGGCUUUCAGCAUUCCACUGCUGUUGGUUUCCAACAUCCACAAAGGUAUGUAUACUUAGUUUCUCAGCAUUAUUCCUUGGGAUUUGAGGAUUGUAGAAGGAAAGCGUAUCAUGAAGCCCUUCUGAUUUUACAGGUUGUUUAAAAUAUAUUUAAG
rnacentral:lncRNA from 1 species